UAUUUUGAAAUUAAGAAAGGUUAAAACAGAAGCAUUAUGCUGUUUGAAUUUAUUUCCGGUUAAUUUGCAUGACUACAACUUAAGUGCUUUAGAAAAAC